rnacentral:rRNA from 1 species
GGGUGAGUAACGCGUGGGUAACCUGCCCCUGAAUUCGGGAUAACUCCGCGAAAGCGGUGCUAAUACCGAAUGUCGUCACAGGGACCGUGGUCCCUGGGAUGAAAGGUGACCUCUCCAUGGAAGUUGCCGUUCGGGGAGGGGCUCGCGUACCAUUAGCUUGUUGGUGGGGUAAUGGCCUACCAAGGCUACGAUGGUUAGCUGGUCUGAGAGGAUGAUCAGCCACACUGGCACUGAAACACGGGCCAGACUCCUACGGGAGGCAGCAGUGAGGAAUUUUGCGCAAUGGGGGAAACCCUGACGCAGCAACGCCGCGUGAGUGAAGAAGGCUUUCGGGUCGUAAAGCUCUGUCAAGUGGGAAAAACGUCUUCCCGUUAACAGCGGGAAGGCCUGAUGGUACCACUGGAGGAAGCACCGGCUAACUCCGUGCCAGCAGCCGCGGUAAUACGGAGGGUGCAAGCGUUGUUCGGAAUUACUGGGCGUAAAGAGCGUGUAGGCGGCAAGGUAAGUCAGGCGUGAAAGCCCUGGGCUUAACCCGGGAAGUGCGUUUGAAACUGCCUCGCUCGAGUAUGGGAGAGGAGAGUGGAAUUCCCGGUGUAGAGGUGAAAUUCGUAGAUAUCGGGAGGAACACCCGUGGCGAAGGCGACUCUCUGGACCAAUACUGACGCUGAGACGCGAAAGCGUGGGGAGCAAACAGGAUUAGAUACCCUGGUAGUGCACGCCGUAAACGAUGAGCACUAGGUGUAGCGGGUAUUGACCCGUGCUGUGCCGUAGCUAACGCAUUAAGUGCUCCGCCUGGGGAGUUCGGCCGCAAGGCUAAUACUCAAAGGAAUUGACGGGGGCCCGCACAAGCGGUGGAGCAUGUGGUUUAAUUUGACGCAACGCGAAGAACCUUACCUGGGCUUGACAUCCCCUGACACCCCGGGAAACCGGGAUUGCCCUGCUUGCAGGGACAGGGUGACAGGUGCUGCAUGGCUGUUGUCAGCUAGUGUCGUGAGAUGUUGGGUUAAGUCCCGCAACGAGCGCAACCCCUUUCUUUAGUUGGCUAGUAUUCAUGUUAGGCACUCUAAAGAGACUGCCUCGGCUAACGGGGAGGAAGGUGGGGAUGACGUCAAGUCCUCAUGGCCUUUAUGCCCAGGGCUACACACGUGCUACAAUGGGUCGUAUCAAUGGGUUGCUAUACCGCGAGGGGAGCCAAUCCCAAAAAGCGGCU